rnacentral:rRNA from 1 species
UACAGAGGGGGCAAGCGUUGUUCGGAAUUACUGGGCGUAAAGGGUGCGUAGGUGGUGAGGUAAGUCUGAUGUGAAAUCUCCGAGCUUAACUCGGAAAUGGCAUUGGAAACUACCUUGCUAGAGGGUUGGAGGGGGGACUGGAAUACUUGGUGUAGCAGUGAAAUGCGUAGAUAUCAAGUGGAACACCAGUGGCGAAGGCGAGUCCCUGGACAACUCCUGACACUGAGGCACGAAAGCUAGGGGAGCAAACAGG